AUUGAACGCUGGCGGCAGGCCUAACACAUGCAAGUCGAGCGGAAGAAGAGAGCUUGCUCCUGGAUUCAGCGGCGGACGGGUGAGUAAUGCCUAGGAAUCUGCCUGUUAGUGGGGGAUAACGUCCGGAAACGGGCGCUAAUACCGCAUACGUCCUGAGGGAGAAAGUGGGGGAUCUUCGGACCUCACGCUAUCAGAUGAGCCUAGGUCGGAUUAGCUAGUUGGUGGGGUAAAGGCCUACCAAGGCGACGAUCCGUAACUGGUCUGAGAGGAUGAUCAGUCACACUGGAACUGAGACACGGUCCAGACUCCUACGGGAGGCAGCAGUGGGGAAUAUUGGACAAUGGGCGAAAGCCUGAUCCAGCCAUGCCGCGUGUGUGAAGAAGGUCUUCGGAUUGUAAAGCACUUUUGGUGGGGAGGAAGGGCAGCAAGUUAAUACCUUGCUGUUUUGACGGUACCAAAAGAAUAAGCACCGGCUAACUUCGUG
rnacentral:rRNA from 1 species